UACUGACUCUGCUAACUUCUCUUUCCUGUCAACUCCCCUCUCAGGAUUCUGGCCGCUUUCCAAAAGGUGAGCGAUCCUAGUCUAGUCCUCCUGGUGACUGUGCUGUGUCCUCUGACGUCCCCUUCCCUGCCAGCUGCUCCAUCUCCAUUGCACAGACAUCUUCUGUCUGAUGCCCACUUGCUCUUGGAUUGAUUCCUCUAGUUUUCUAAAACUGAUUUGCUCUAGGGUGCUUAACCCCCACUUCCAUCCCAUUACAACUGUGUGUUGUAAGGAUUGUCUCCCAGAAACUCACUGUAAAAUAAGGGCUAGCUUGGAGUCUCCCACUAUUGUUGCUCCUCUAUGACAGAACACAAGCUGGGCUAAGGAGAAGCCCCUUUGGAGCAACUGAACUCUAGUUCAGUUUUAGGUCUCAAACAUGGGCUAAAAUCUGUUAUCCUAGUUCGUUCCAGGUAAAAAUGAGACUCGGACAUCCCUGGUCCUUCACUGUAUUAAGCUUAUUCUUAAUUGUCAGUGGGGCGCUCCAGUCUCACCACUCGGCAGCACUGCUGCGGUUCUGGAUGCCCUCCUGGGCUUCAUGUCUGCGAGCAGCCAGGGAUGCCAUCAUUCAGAGUGACAGGGUCACGCAGCUGUAAGUCAAGGCAGCUUGAAACUUCUCAGAUCAAAGGGGAAAACUUGGGUAGUUUACACUGUCAAGCUCAGUUUAGUUAGAGGUUCCAGGAUGCUUAUUUCCAAUUUGGUCUUUAAUUCUAGACGAGCUUAAUAAAACACUUAUAGCCUUAAACCAUUCAAGGGCUGGUAAAAAUACACAGAACUAUCUUAGCCACAAUAUUUGAAUCAAGUGAAUAUUUUAAGCUGUCAUUAAGUGUUGCAACUUUAAAAAAACAAAAUGUUUACUUUGUGAUUUUCUUAAAACAAACUCUAGAAAAAAAAAUGUGUAUAAUCUGUUAUGGCAAAUGUUUUUUCCCAAAUAAAUGUCCUCUAACUCAUAGGAAUGAAAACACUUAAAUGAAUAUUGUAAGCAUAUCUGUUAAUAAUUCCCACAAUUUUUUAAGCUAACAAAAUAAUAGAAUAUUUACUUAAUAGAAUUAAACAAAUUUUCAACCCAUCAAAAUUAUAUAUUAAACUAUUUAGGCAUAUUGGGGGAUAAAGACCUCCCCACCCCCAUCAGAAAGGGAUUUCUUAUUUUUAAGGCAAAAUGGUAUUUACUGUGAUGGGCAGAACAGCACUUUGUGUGUAAGAGAACAUUCUAGUUCUUUCCAAUAUCAUUUUAUGCUGUUCCUGGGGUCUUAUUUGGAAAAUAAGGAUAUCACUUUUUUGGUUUUCCUUUGAAAGAACUUACAUCUUAAGAACAUGGUAUCAUGGCUGGGGUGGCGAGGGAGGCAGGGAAAGCCAUUUUUCUUUGUAGAUAAAAAGCAUUCUGUGUGAUUGUUGUAUAAUAAAUUGAUUUUUACACUAAAGUAAAGCAGGUUGUGAUUUUUCUUAUUUGUUUUAGAGAAGUUAAAAUGUGUGCCUGCAAGGUAUUCCAAAUGACCUAUUACUCAGGAAUUUUUUUAAACAAUAAAAUGAUAUUUUAGCAAUUAA
ensembl:lncRNA